GGGGGGGCAAGCGUUGUUCGGAAUUACUGGGCGUAAAGCGCGCGCAGGCGGCCCGGCAAGUCCUACGUGAAAUCCCACAGCUCAACUGUGGAACUGCGUGGGAUACUGCCAGGCUUGAGUCCGGGAGAGGAGAGUGGAAUUCCCAGUGUAGCGGUGAAAUGCGUAGAUAUUGGGAGGAACACCGGUGGCGAAGGCGGCUCUCUGGACCGGUACUGACGCUGAGGCGCGAAAGCUAGGGGAGCAAACGGGGGAUUAGAUACCCCGGGUAGUCCUAGCUGUAAACUUUGAGCACUUGGUGUGGCGGGUAUCGACCCCCUGCCGUGCCGAAGCUAACGCAUUAAGUGCUCCGCCUGGGGAUACGGUCGCAAGGCUG
rnacentral:rRNA from 1 species